ACAUUUAAACAUUUAAACAUUUAAACAUUUAAACAUUUAAACAAUUCAACAUUUCAACAUUUUUACUCAAAAUUAAAAAAAAACACAAGGAACAAGGAUCACAAAACGAACGCACCAUGAUUCUGAAUCUAUGUGCAGCCGACGCUCAUGAAACGAACGCACCAUGAUUGAAGCGAGCUGUCAUUUUUUUCACUCGCGCGUGCUUGCAGCAUGUUCUUUCGUUGUGUUCGAUUCGUUUUUCCGCGUGUAAUUGGGGAUUUUCUACAUCCGGCGACUUCAAAGACUUAAGAACCGGCACCGGCUGUGGGAAUUCCAGAUCGCUGUCGGCGUUCCGUUCCUGGUGUUUGUUAGGGAUGUGCAGACGCACUGGACUCAAACUGCCGGCAGUGCAACGAGGGUUAGGCGAUACCAUAGCGCAACGACGUGCAACAAGUGAAAUCUCUCGCUGAAGAAGCACUUCGAACCGGCCGUACUUCUGGAGACAAAUAGCUAUACGUAAGUUGUGUCGGAUGGAGAAAGUGUAGAUUGUUUUUAAUUGAGUGUUUAUAAUUUCAGAAUUGAGGACAUCACCGAAUUGACCCGAUGUUUCCAGACGACAGGAACGACAAACACAAACUGCUGGGCAGUUAGGAAUCUACGGAUGGAGUGCAAUGUCCCGAGGACCCGAGGAGGAACGUGUACCGAUUACAUCGAUCGGUGUAAUCGAUGACGAGAUUGAACCGGAAUUACCAAAGAAAACGACGCGAAAAGAAAGUGCAAAAUUAAGUGAAAUUAAAGAGUAAUUUAAAAAAAACUCACUAAUUACUAUCAAAAGAAGUGUAUUUAGGAUUCCUUUUACUGUGUGUAAAUAGUUUUAGCAGCAUCAUUUAGUGAGGAAUAAAAAAUAAACAGUAUAAAAAACAAUAAAAA